rnacentral:lncRNA from 1 species
UUUCCAUUUUCUAUUUCUCUGCAAUGUAAUGCAUCAUCAAUAUCUGUACAGCCAGGAGGAUCAACGCUACAAACGUACAGAUGCCUCAAGUCCUCCCUGUAUUUCAUAUCCUUUUCUGUAAUGCUCCAUGGCAUUUUCGGUAGAAAACUGAGGACGUUCUGAGAGAAAGGUUGAUGAGGGACAUCAUGUUCAAGGAGAAGAACUUCUGUCUCAGUCUCUUUAUCUCCAGCACUUCCCAAGUUCUUCACAAAAUGACCAUUAGGGUACCUAGAAUUCCUA